UGACUGUGAGUCAAAUUCAGCUUCCAUCCUUUCAUGGUGGGAGCUGGCCCAGAUGGCUGCCACAGCAAGCUGUGCUGCUCAUGGGCCCUGUGUCCCCUGCAUUGGGGACAUUUAUAACUCUUGGAAUUC